rnacentral:ncRNA from 1 species
UCGGUCCCGGUUCACGUCCGCGUACGUGAGGAGCGCAUGCGCUCGAAAUGAUCUGCGGGCGACCCGGGCC